rnacentral:rRNA from 1 species
AGUGAACGCUGGCGGUAGGCCUAACACAUGCAAGUCGAACGGCAGCACAGUAAGAGCUUGCUCUUACGGGUGGCGAGUGGCGGACGGGUGAGGAAUACAUCGGAAUCUACUUUUUCGUGGGGGAUAACGUAGGGAAACUUACGCUAAUACCGCAUACGACCUACGGGUGAAAGCAGGGGAUCUUCGGACCUUGCGCGAUUGAAUGAGCCGAUGUCGGAUUAGCUAGUUGGCGGGGUAAAGGCCCACCAAGGCGACGAUCCGUAGCUGGUCUGAGAGGAUGAUCAGCCACACUGGAACUGAGACACGGUCCAGACUCCUACGGGAGGCAGCAGUGGGGAAUAUUGGACAAUGGGCGCAAGCCUGAUCCAGCCAUACCGCGUGGGUGAAGAAGGCCUUCGGGUCGUAAAGCCCUUUUGUUGGGAAAGAAAAGCAGCAGGUGAAUACCCCGCUGUUCUGACGGUACCCAAAGAAUAAGCACCGGCUAACUUCGUG